rnacentral:miRNA from 1 species
UUAGCCCGAACCGCUAUCCAUA